ACGAUGGGCCGUGGACUGGCGGAGAGGAGUAGGUAGUGCUCAGCCUCAGCAACCUGGCGAGCUAGAGCCACCGUCACAGUGCGCUCACGUUCCCAAGCGAGAGCCACGGCGUGAACCCGCUCCUGAGCCGCCAGAGACUCAGUCUUCGCUACGAGGAGGGCAGCAGCCAGGGCGGCAUCCGCUGUGUUGGACUGUCCCUGUCCGGUCAUAGGAGCCAGACCGUUCGACCGGACCAUCUGGUCAGACAAAGAGGUUGAGCUGGACUGUCCGGCCCCUGAGCCCGGACCGUCUGGCAGCAUCAGGGCAAUCGUGGUGAGGUACUCUGGUGGCAUGCCCAGGCCGGCGUAGGGGGCAAGGGCGGAUGAGGGGAAGGGCGCGGCGACAGUGGUGACGACGUUGGUCGGAGCGGCCAGGAGGGAGGCGGCUAGGGCGGCACCCACGCCCGUGGCAUCUGC
rnacentral:lncRNA from 1 species